GCCCAGCUGGGUUAAGGGUGGAGCUACCUGUUUACUGCUUGGGAUUCAGAACCUGACCAGGAAGGAUCAGGCUGCUUGAAUUUAGCUGAGGCUGAAGUCCCUAUGGCCUUCCUACUGGAGGCUAGCAUUUUGGAGGACAAUUGGAACUUGUUAUUUUCUGCAAUACAGUGGAUACAGUUUGUUAUGGCUACUCUGAGUGUUAUAGGUUCAAGUUCACUUAUUGCCUAUGCUGUAUUCCAGAACAUACAGAAAUCUCCAGAGAUAAGGCCACUCGUUUAUCUGAGCUUCUCUGACCUCCUCCUGGGGAUAUACUGGCUCAUUGAGGCAGUUCUCUAUGGAACUUCAGCAGCCAAUAAGGACAUUGUCUGCUAUAACUUGCAAGCAGUUGGACAGAUAUUCUACAUUUCCUCAUUUUUCUACACUGUCAAUUACAUCUGGUACCUGUACAAAGAGCUGAGGAUGAAACCCCACCAGAGUGGACAGAGCACAGUUCCGCUGGUUAUAGGUUAUACCUGUCGAGUUAGUCAAACAGCCAUCAUUUUGUCAAGCCUGAUACCUCUACUAUUGAUGAUACCUGUAUUCUGUUUGGGCAAUGCCAGUGAAUGUUUCCGCAACUUCAGCCAGAGCCACAGGUGUAUCCUGAUGUACUCACCACCAACAGCCAUGGCUAAAGUCCUGCCUUCUGCCAACACAUCAGUCUGUAGCACACUUUAUUUUUAUGGGCUUAUCAUUUUCCUGGCCAGCUUUCUACUCAGCCUCCUCACCAUUGUGGUCUUACUCAUUCAAGCCCAGACACUUUAUAAGAAGUUUCUGAAAUCGACUGGCUUUCUGGGGAGUGAACAGUGGGCAGUGAUUCACAUUGUGGAGCAGCGAGUACGCUUCUACCCAGUGGCCUUCUUUUGCUGCUGGGGCCCAGCUGUCAUUCUGAUGAUCAUAAAGAUGACUAAGCCACAGGACACCAAACUUCACAUGGCCCUCUAUGUUCUCCAGAUGAAGAAACUGAAACCAAAAGAGGAGAAAUUACUCAGUGAAGAACAAGCAGUAGGAAUACCAGAACAACGUCCAAGUCCCAGGCAGCUAAGCCUCUGACACAGGUGUGGGGUGGAACCUGGGAAUCUGCAUUGCUAAGAAGCUGCCUGGUGCUGCAGAUGCUGCCAGUUGGUCCUGGACCACACUGAUGAGUGAGUGUAGACACCUCCAGGGUGCCCAUCACCCAACAGCCCCUGCUUAACAUCCGGUGAGUACCAUGUGACCCCAUCCUGCAGCCACAGCUGACUGGCUCAGGAAUGGACUUCUGGGCCAAGCUGGACCUAUCAGAAGCUCAUGGGAACUGAGACUGGAACAUUAAGCCAGCCAUGAGUCGUGUUGUCCAGGCUGAGGCAGUCAUCGUCUGCUGCAUGAAUAUUUAAGCAGUGAAAGCCAAUCUGCAGAGAAAGGAGAAGGCUGUGGAGAGAAGCAAAGAGGAGCAGCAUCCAGUCUCUCUUGGUAGAUGCAAGUGCCAUGAGGACAGGGACAGACGUUUCAGCUGACCUGGUGCCACCGCGCACCACCUUAAGCCUAAGAAGCUGCAGAGAAGAUGGGAGAACGGGGGUGAGCUCAAAGCUUUGCCCUUUGCCGCUCGGUUCACGUGUAAUGGCACUGUUGCUGCUGCUCAUCAUCAAAGCUAAAAUACAGAAUCAUUUCUUGAAGCAACGUCAACUGGAAUAUCCCAUUACUGAUGACUGGUCAUAAAAUCCUUGUCUCCUCAGUGAGCCAUCGGGGCUUCCCUGGUGGCGCAGUGGUUAAGAAUCCGCCUGCCUGUGCAGGAGACACGGGUUCAAGCCCUGAUCCAGGAAGAUCCCACAUGCCGCGGAGCAACUAAGCCCAUGUGCCACAACUACUGAGCCUGUGCUCUAGAGCCCGCGAGCCACAACUACUGAAGCCCACAUGCCUAGAGCCCGUGCUUCACAACAAGAGAAGCUACCGCAAUGAGAAGCCCGUGCACCACAACAAAGAGUAGCCCCCACUCGCCGCAACCAGAAAAAAGCCCACGUGCGGCAACAAAGACCCAACA